rnacentral:rRNA from 1 species
AAAUCGCCUGUUGAUCAAAAACAUGUCUUUUUAGAAAAUAAUUUAAAGUUCUAAUCUGCCCACUGAUUUUAUAAUUAAAGGGCUGCAGUAUAUUGACUGUACAAAGGUAGCAUAAUCAUUAGUCUUUUAAUUGAAGACUUGUAUGAAAGAUUUGAUGAAAUAUAAACUGUCUCUAAGUUAUUAAUAGAAUUUAAUUUUUUAGUUAAAAAGCUAAAAUUUAUUUAAAAGACGAGAAGACCCUAUAGAGUUUUAUAUUAAAAAUUAUUAAAAUUAAAUAUAUAAGUAUAACUUAAAAUUAUUUUUAAUAUUUUAUUGGGGUGAUAGAAAAAUUUAAUUAACUUUUUUUAAAUAUUAAACAUAAAUAAGUGAAUAUAUGAUCCAUUAAUAAUGAUUACAAGAAAAAAUUACCUUAGGGAUAACAGCGUAAUUUUUUUUUUUAGUACAAAUAAGAAAAAGGGAUUGCGACCUCGAUGUUUGGAUUAAGAUAAAAAUUAAAUGCAAAAGUUUAAAAUUUUGAUCUGUUCGAUCAUUAAAAUCUUACAUGA